rfam:Gossypium hirsutum cultivar TM-1 chromosome 3, whole genome shotgun sequence
AAACCAUGCAUCAAAUAUUUCCGUAUUAAAUCUUUAAAUCACUCCCAAGCUUCAUAUAAUGUUUCAUCCUCUAAUUGCCAGAAAUAUUUGAUAUCAUUUCUAAGCUU